rnacentral:snRNA from 1 species
AUACCUUCCUCGGCCUUUUGGCUAAGAUCAAGUGUAGCAUCAGUGCUUAUCAGUUUAAUAUCAAUACAGCUAGUUUUAAGUUAUGUCUUUCUGAUGCAGAUUGAUGACCGUGAAUGUGGUGGUGACUAUCUGAUAGAAAACAUUAUCCGUUUAGCUUUGAACUUAAGCUUGAUAACCUUCU